AUGAUUGCAUUCAGAGAUACACUGGAAGUUUGCGAGUUGGUGGACUUGGGGUUCUCGGGGAUCCCCUUCACAUACGAUAAUAAGCGCAGCGGGAAUAACAAUGUUCAAGUUCGGUUGGAUAGAGCAACAACGACUAAUGCAUGGAGGAAUCUUUUUCCUUACUACAAUGUUAUGCAUGUUGUUUCCCCUUGUUCAGAUCAUAUAGCCCUAGUGCUGAAAGGUGAACCAGAAACAAAGCGGUCAGGACCAAAAACGAGGAGAUAUGAAGUUUUUUGGGAACGUGAUGAAAACCUACCAAAGAUCAUCAAAGAGGCCUGGGAAUCGGUGGGGGCUGUGGAUAAUCUGGAAAAGCUGCAAACUGCGUUGCGGAAAACUAUGGCCACCCUUGGUGUUUGGAGCAAUCAGCGGUUUGGUAAUGUUGCAGGGGAAUUGACUAAGUCCAGAUCGCAGCUCGAGGAACUUAUGCAUAUGAAUGCGGAUCGGCAGGAGAUAAGGAGGAUAAGGACAAAAUGA
rnacentral:rRNA from 1 species